rnacentral:misc_RNA from 1 species
AAGUCGUAACAAGGUUUCCGUAGGUGAACCUGCGGAAGGAUCAUCGUUGGUGUUUGUGUUUGUGUGGGCACUGACUUUUGUGUCUGUGGGCACUGACUGAGUUUUUCUUUCGAAUCCCAACCAAGAGGAGAGGAGUUGACUGAGGUUUGCGUGGAGGGAGAAAAAGACAACUUUCAACAACGGAUCUCUUGGCUCUCA